rnacentral:lncRNA from 1 species
CACGUAAUUCCAUUUCAUGGAGCUGAUAUCGUCUUGGGAGUUGAUUGGCUCAAGGACUUAGGUGAUGUUGCCUUUAAUUUUAACAAUCGAACAUUAUCCUUCACCCAUCAGUAUCGACAGGUUCAGAUCACAGGAAUAAAAUCGCAACUACAACAAGUUACACCUAGCGUCAUGUACUAGAGUUUCUCCUCGACUAAGGAGCAUGAUUCAUUCUUCCUCCGUGUGGACU